AAUGAACGCUGGCGGCAUGCCUAACACAUGCAAGUCGAACGAGACCUUCGGGUCUAGUGGCGCAUGGCGGCGUAACGCGUGGGAACCUGCCCUUAGGUUUGGAAUAACUCUCCGAAUGGGGUGCUAAUACCGGAUAAUGUCUUCGGACCAAAGAUAUAUCGCCUUUGGAGGGUCCAGCGUUGGAUUAGCUGGUUGUUAGGGUAAAAGCGUACCAAGGGGACGAUUCAUAGCUGGGUUGAGAGGAUGAUCAGCCACACUGAGACUGAGACACGGCCCGGACUCUUACGGGAGGGAGGAGAGGGGGAUAUUGGAAAAUGGGCGGAGGGAUGAUGGAGCAAUGCCGGGUGAGUGAUGAAGGCCUUAGGGUAGUAAAGCUCUUUUACCCGGGAUGAUAAUGACAGUACCGGGAGAAUAAGCACCGGCUAACUCCGUG
rnacentral:rRNA from 1 species